rnacentral:lncRNA from 1 species
GAAUUUUAGAUGCACCUCAGAAGAUGCCCCAGACACAGGCCUCCUUUUGGCAUUCCUCUGGAGGAAUCAAACCAUCGUUGACAUUGAAAUGUGGAAUUCUCAGCAGAAACAGGCUAGUUUCCAUCUAAUAGGAGUCCAGGAGAGAGACUCGGGCAACUAUGGCUGUGUGGUAUCAGAGCAACCGCUUGCUGCAACAGAGUUGGACAUGUGUGGAGGGAAUUCAGUCUUCCUGCAGGUUUACGGUAAGAAUUGCAAAAAUAUUAACACCAUGCCUCAAACAAAAGUGUUUAUUAUGAGAAGGCUAGUAUGUCAGUACAUGCAGACUAUACAAUUCUUACAGGCAGCACUUCAGCAAGCUCUGCAGGCUCUGUAUCUUAAAGCAAAUCCUUUUUUUUUUUUUAAGUCGAUCUGCACCAUCUUCAUUACCCAAGCUUUGCAACAAACAUUUUAGUAUUCACACCCUGUUACACUUUGAAUAUGUCAAAUAAAGCUUUACUUUUGAUGCUCACACAAAAAAGCAAAUGUUUGUUCAAUUUAAAAACAGGGAAACCAAAUGAAGAGUCACCUGCCCCCCCAUCCGGUUGCAUAAUGAUGGCCGCUCAGUUUCUGCUAAUCCCCCUGCUUCUUCUUGCGCUGCUGAUUUUACUGAUGUGGAAGAAAGGUACCACUAAACAUAGUUCCUUGUUUCAGUGCCUGUUCUCACAAUUCUCACUGGUGCCAUCUGCAAAUACCCUAUUUGACACUUUGACUUUUGUGUUCACAGGGACAUUCAGGCGAUGGAAACCUCCACAGAGCACAACUGAGCAGCAUUGUCUAUAUUUGGCUAACACAGGACUGCCUGCACAUGGACGAUCACUUGAGGCAACAAGUGAAGAGCCUGCUGUGGACAGGACUGAUACGGGGAUGUGUGACAGACAACAAAAUCUCAAUCAAGGAGAGGACAUGGGCCCCACUGAAUGGAGUGAUAAUUCUGCCGAUGAUUCUGACGACUAUGUCAACGAUACCUAUCAGGACGGAGCCCCUGAUGAAGGAGCCGCAAGACCUUAUGCCACAGUGUCGAAGAAAAGAAAGAAAAAGAAACCAGAGCCACUGUAUUCAAUUGUUCUUCAGUAGUUUUUGUUUCUAUUCUGAAAAUGCAGUGUAACAGUUUGUUAUCAUGUUAUUUGAAAGCUCCUUGAUCAAUGCGAACUUUGUUGUGUAAUGAUUUGCCAUGAUUUCUCAUUUUCACCACCCGAACAUAUGAAUGUGUGAAUACGCAAUAAAUCAUACAAGUGCAAUUUACA